UGGGGAAUUUUGGACAAUGGGCGAAAGCCUGAUCCAGCAAUGCCGCGUGUGUGAAGAAGGCCUUCGGGUUGUAAAGCACUUUUGUCCGGAAAGAAAUCCUUGGCUCUAAUACAGUCGGGGGAUGACGGUACCGGAAGAAUAAGCACCGGCUAACUACGUGCCAGCAGCCGCGGUAAUACGUAGGGUGCAAGCGUUAAUCGGAAUUACUGGGCGUAAAGCGUGCGCAGGCGGUUUGCUAAGACCGAUGUGAAAUCCCCGGGCUCAACCUGGGAACUGCAUUGGUGACUGGCAGGCUAGAGUAUGGCAGAGGGGGGUAGAAUUCCACGUGUAGCAGUGAAAUGCGUAGAGAUGUGGAGGAAUACCGAUGGCGAAGGCAGCCCCCUGGGCCAAUACUGACGCUCAUGCACGAAAGCGUGGGGAGCAAACAGGAUUAGAUACCCUGGUAGUCCACGCCCUAAACGAUGUCAACUAGUUGUUGGGAUUCAUUCCUUAGUAACGUAGCUAACGCGUGAAGUUGACCGCCU
rnacentral:rRNA from 1 species